GCAUGCUUACACAUGCAAGUCGAACGAUGAACCACUUCGGUGGGGAUUAGUGGCGAACGGGUGAGUAACACGUGGGCAAUCUGCCCUGCACUCUGGGACAAGCCCUGGAAACGGGGUCUAAUACCGGAUACUGACCCGCUUGGGCAUCCAAGCGGUUCGAAAGCUCCGGCGGUGCAGGAUGAGCCCGCGGCCUAUCAGCUUGUUGGUGAGGUAAUGGCUCACCAAGGCGACGACGGGUAGCCGGCCUGAGAGGGCGACCGGCCACACUGGGACUGAGACACGGCCCAGACUCCUACGGGAGGCAGCAGUGGGGAAUAUUGCACAAUGGGCGAAAGCCUGAUGCAGCGACGCCGCGUGAGGGAUGACGGCCUUCGGGUUGUAAACCUCUUUCAGCAGGGAAGAAGCGAAAGUGACGGUACCUGCAGAAGAAGCGCCGGCUAACUACGUGCCAGCAGCCGCGGUAAUACGUAGGGCGCGAGCGUUGUCCGGAAUUAUUGGGCGUAAAGAGCUCGUAGGCGGCUUGUCACGUCGGUUGUGAAAGCCCGGGGCUUAACCCCGGGUCUGCAGUCGAUACGGGCAGGCUAGAGUUCGGUAGGGGAGAUCGGAAUUCCUGGUGUAGCGGUGAAAUGCGCAGAUAUCAGGAGGAACACCGGUGGCGAAGGCGGAUCUCUGGGCCGAUACUGACGCUGAGGAGCGAAAGCGUGGGGAGCGAACAGGAUUAGAUACCCUGGUAGU
rnacentral:rRNA from 1 species